UAGGUCUACUAUAUUUAGUGAAUGGAAUGAUUGUAAUGUGUACAUGUCUAGCUGGCAGGUGUCAUCUGACCUUGUCCUCAUUUUCAUGGUUCAGUGGUCAAAGUUAAGUUUUUGAGUUUUGGUCUUUUUUCUAAUACUAGGUAUAUGUCAACUAUAUUUGGUACAUUGAAAUAUUUUAUGAUCUAUAUGUCAGUCGCGCAGGUUUUAUUUGACCUUGACCUCAUUUCAUGGUUCAUUGCUCAGUGUUAAGUUUUUUUGCUUUGAUCUGUUUAUCUUAAACUAUAAGCAUAUAGGUCAACUAUAUUUAUUGUAUGGCAGAAUUGUUAGCUGUACAUGUCUGUGACGGUUAGAUUUAGGACUAUUAAAGAAGGCG
rnacentral:lncRNA from 1 species